rnacentral:rRNA from 1 species
AUGACAAGUGGCAGACUUCUCUCAGUCAAAUGGGAGGAGUUCAUGGAACUAUUGGGUGUUGAAGAUCAAGGGCUUGACAACCCGGUUGGCUUUCAUCCUCACAAGAAUUCUACCUCUACUCACCAGUCAGCUCUUUGGCAAUACAUCAUAGUGAAGAUUCACCCCGACACGCAGAAGAAGACAUACGAGAUGUUUCCUUUUCUGGAUAUCCUUCAUUGCAUCUUCAAAAACACCAUAUUCCCUCGCAUUGGGAACUUGGAUAUGGUUCACUCGUACCUCGUGGAUUUUUUACAGUUUUGUCGGCAUGAGAAGGAUAACAACAUAGGAGAGACCUUGGAUAUUUGA